rnacentral:rRNA from 1 species
GCGUGGAGACAGGUGGUGCAUGGCUGUCGUCAGCUCGUGUCGUGAGAUGUUGGGUUAAGUCCCGCAACGAGCGCAACCCUCACCCCUUGUUGCCAUCAGGUCAUGCUGGGCACUCUAGGGGAACUGCCCCGGUCAACGGGGAGGAAGGCGGGGAUGACGUCAAGUCAUCAUGCCCCUUACGCCCUGGGCUACACACGUGCUACAAUGGCCGGUACAAAGGGAUGCGAGACCGCGAGGUGGAGCCAAACCCAAAAAGCCGGUCUAAGUUCAGAUUGGAGUCUGCAACUCGACUCCAUGAAGGAGGAAUCGCUAGUAAUCGCCCAUCAGCACGGGGCGGUGAAUACGUUCCCGGGCCUUGUACACACCGCCCGUCACACCACGAAAGUCAGCUGUACUCGAAGUCGCUGAG